GACGAACGCUGGCGGCGUGCUUAACACAUGCAAGUCGAACGAAGAGCGAUGGAAGCUUGCUUCUAUCAAUCUUAGUGGCGAACGGGUGAGUAACGCGUAAUCAACCUGCCCUUCAGAGGGGGACAACAGUUGGAAACGACUGCUAAUACCGCAUACGAUCUAAUCUCGGCAUCGAGGAUAGAUGAAAGGUGGCCUCUACAUGUAAGCUAUCACUGAAGGAGGGGAUUGCGUCUGAUUAGCUAGUUGGAGGGGUAACGGCCCACCAAGGCGAUGAUCAGUAGCCGGUCUGAGAGGAUGAACGGCCACAUUGGGACUGAGACACGGCCCAGACUCCUACGGGAGGCAGCAGUGGGGAAUCUUCCGCAAUGGACGAAAGUCUGACGGAGCAACGCCGCGGGAGCGAUGACGGCCUUCGGGUUGUAAAGCUCUGUUAAUCGGGACGAAAGGCCUUCUUGCGAAUAGUGAGAAGGAUUGACGGUACCGGAAGAGAAAGCCACGGCUAACUACGUG
rnacentral:rRNA from 1 species